CCAAUAGCGUAUAUUAAAGUUGUUGCAGUUAAAAAGCUCGUAGUUGAACUUCGGGAUCAAUUGAUCGGUCAUGCCUUGGUAUGUACUGGUCAUAUUGGUUCUCACCUUCUAAUGAACCUUAAUGUCAUUCACUUGAUGUUUUGGGGAAUUAGGACUGUUACCUUGAAAAAAUUAGAGUGUUUAAAGCAGGCUUACGCUUG
rnacentral:rRNA from 1 species